rnacentral:tRNA from 1 species
GGGAAUGUGUCUUAGUGGUAGAGUGCUUGCCUUGCAUGCAUGAAGCCCUGGGUUCAAUUCCUCAGUACCA